rnacentral:rRNA from 1 species
UACGUAGGGUGCAAGCGUUAAUCGGAAUUACUGGGCGUAAAGCGUGCGCAGGCGGUUGGGCAAGACAGAUGUGAAAUCCCCGGGCUUAACCUGGGAAUGGCAUUUGUGACUGUUCGGCUAGAGUGUGUCAGAGGGGGGUAGAAUUCCACGUGUAGCAGUGAAAUGCGUAGAGAUGUGGAGGAACACCGAUGGCGAAGGCAGCCCCCUGGGCUAACACUGACGCUCAUGCACGAAAGCGUGGGGAGCAAACAGG